rnacentral:rRNA from 1 species
AGAGACAUAUGCUUGUCCCAAAGAUUAAGCCAUGCAUGCCCGACUUAGACUCAGUUAGAAAGCUAUUUCUUGAUGAAUCUGCGAGCGGCUCCGUAUACCUGUUAUCACCUUUCAUCCCCCACCGUUUUUAUCGACGGAUACCUGGCGUUAAUUCUGUAGCUAAUACGUCAGGUAUGCGGGGGGGUCUCCCAAUGUGGAGACCUUCGGCCUCCUCAAGCCAGCGAGCGCUUUCCUCCCCAUGUUGGGAGGAAGGUGGCCACUAGAAUGAGGGGAGAGGGCCUCACUGCGGGUAAUUCCCUUGCAGGGAGAUUGGAGAAUUUCAGACCUAUCAACUAGAGGGUGGGGUAGAUGCCCGCCCUGGUGAUAACGGGUACAGAGGAUCAGGGUUCGAUCCUGGAGAGGAAGCCUCAGAAAUAGCUUCUACUGCUAAGGCAGGCAGCAGGCGCGCAACGUUCCCAAUGGUUUAUCCGAUUGAGGACGUUACGGGACAUAGCAAUGCCGGCCCGCAUAAGCGUGGUCAGCAAUUGAAAUGAUAUGUUAUCAAAUAACAC